ensembl:lncRNA
CCGCCCGGCGUGCAGCCCUGCCCGGCUCCCGCCCCCCGCCUCGGCCCGACCUGCAGCCGAGAGUCGGGGGAGGGGGGCGCCCCGGAGCCGCCGACGGCCUCGCGCUCCGAUUUCCUCACCGUACGAAAUGAAAUUCCACAGGGGGAUUCGAGAGGAAAUGAGACCGGGACGCUCCGUGCUUCUCGGCCCGCCGCCCUUCCUGUCUCGGGGACACGGUUUCUAAAUAAGCCCUUCUCCCCACCCUCCCCUCCUUCGGCCGAGCUUGGUGCUAGCCCACACUCUCCACUAAAGCCUCAGCAGGUGGAUUCCUAAACGACUUAGUCCCUGAAGGACUUCCAGUGUGCCUCGCAGAGCCUCAGAUGGAGUCCUGCCAUCUCUGCCUCGGCCUGCUUGAUGCGACUGUCUCCUUUGAGAGCCCUUGAAAAAGCCCCUUGCCCGUCAGAAGCUUUUCCUGUCAACAGCUUUUCUUUCCCAGCAUGGAACUCAUCGCAGGUAUUUUCCAAAAAAGAAAGCCCGGGGAAUCACAUUUCAGUCUGAAUGUGGAAAGAAAACAAAGCCCACGACUUAGAGCUAAGUCUGAAUGGCCCGGAGCCUCCCUCUCACCGAGUGGUUUACACAGUUGCCAAUCUGCGCCUGGUGACAGGCAUGGCAUGUUUGUCUUUGUUGCAGAAAACGCUUCCCCAAGGGAGUUCCAGGCAGAAGGCUAUCCACCCUGUGACAUGCACUGUUCAAGAGAGGUGCUUGCUCAGUCUCAGUCACUCUGUCAUAUCCAACUCUUUAUGACCUCAUGGACGAUGGCCCACCAGGCUCCACUGUUCGUGGGAUUUUUCAAGCAACAAAAUUGGAGUGGGUUGCCAUUUCCUCCUCCAAGGACUCUUACUGGACCAGGGAUCGAACCUGCAUCUUCUCCAUUGGUCUGCUCGUUGGCAGUCUCUUCUCCACCCAGAAACAGGGGCUUACAGCUUCCGCCACUGGCUCUUCGCUCCCGCUGAAAGCCUGUGGCUUGUUCCCCGCUGCCGCUGGAAUAAAGUGGAUCAGGAAUCCUGUGACAGUGUGAGAACCACAGAGCAGAGAAUCAGAGCCAGCUAAGGAUGGAGAAAGAGAAACAGAGCCCUGAAGACUUCAUCUGAGCCUCCCCUCUAGUGAUGCCUGUUAGUUCCAUGAACCCACGGAUUCUUUUUUCCCCUAAUCUAGUUUGAGUCAGAUUUUGAU